CUACGGAGGUUGCAAGCGUUAUUCGGAAUCACUGGGCGUAAAGGACGCGUAGGCGGGUUGGCAAGUCAGAUGUGAAAUCCUACAGCUUAACUGUAGAACUGCAUUUGAAACUGCUAACCUAGAGUAUGGGAGGGGGAGAUGGAAUUAGUGGUGUAGGGGUAAAAUCCGUAGAUAUCACUAGGAAUACCGAAAGCGAAGGCGAUCUCCUGGAACAUAACUGACGCUAAGGCGUGAAAGCGUGGGGAGCAAACAGGAUUAGAAACCCCAGUAGUCC
rnacentral:rRNA from 1 species